UACGAAGGGGGCGAGCGUUGUUCGGAUUUACUGGGCGUAAAGGGCGCGCAGGCGGCGCAUUUUGUCAGGCGUGAAAGCCCCGGGCUUAACCUGGGAACUGCGUUUGAUACGGAUGGGCUAGAGUUCGGGAGAGGAGAGUGGAAUUCCCAGUGUAGAGGUGAAAUUCGUAGAUAUUGGGAAGAACACCGGUGGCGAAGGACGGCUCUCUCGGGAGC
rnacentral:rRNA from 1 species